CAUAUCCUGCUUUGUGCGCCACUUGAUGAUUUUUAAAACCACAGUGUAUUUACGGGAGUCAAACUUAGCUUGCGAAUAUCAAGCCGUGUUUGGUUUGGCGGAAGAUAGCAACAAGCUAGAGGACACCCACCUGCGAGAUGCGGGUAUUUAAAAACAACAAGUGGACGGCAUAGUGGGGAAAGA
rnacentral:other from 1 species